rnacentral:lncRNA from 1 species
GCCCAAGACCCAGGCUAGGGUUUUGCCUUCGAUCAGAAACCUUAGGGGUUGAAUUUCAUUCCCCUCACUCUGCCUCCACUCAAAAUCACGGCCACCCAACCCUCUUCUCUGAACCAGAAGACCUUGCAGCAAUCAUCCCGCCACUCACGCACUCGUCGCUGCCCCCUCCGAACGGCCCCCGCGACGCCACCAAAGGGGUCGCUAGCGACCACCGUCGACCCCAGCGUCCAGCCGNUCGCCGGCGUCAAGCCUUCCCUUCUCCUUUUCCCAUUUUUCCGCCGGCGCACCCUAAGGCCGCCCUCUCCAUCACUUGCCUUCUCCGCCAUGAACCGNCGUCAAUGGCGUCGCUAGUGACGUUGUGUGCCGCCAGAGUCGUCGCCGAUCGUUGGGCCCUCUCCCUUCCUUCUCCUUUUCCCACACGAGAAAAGCCCUCUCACGCUCCUUCGUCAAACGCCGCCUAAGGGAUUCUGGUCGCCACGAACCAGAGCACCCCACGCCUCCGACNGCAGCUAAGGCCACCGCCGGACCUCACGUUGACGUCCUCCACNGCCACGGCCAAAUCCACCGAUANUCCAAAAUCGUCACCGCGCNUGCCACCUCUAGGAGUCCCACUGCUUAGCUAUCAAAGAAAACAGCCACAAAGGCUUGCCGAGACAAUGCUUGGGGUUUGGNAUUUUUAUUCUGAUGCUGUGGUUUGUAUGUGGUCUUGAUGGUAUAGGGUGGACAUGGGCUAUCGGCGUUAACAGAUAAUGGUAGAAACAGAAUAGUCGAAGCAGAUUUGGUUUUCGGCUUGAUGGGAGAAAAAAUCUACUUCUGUUUUAUGUCCAGCUUGUUUAUGUUUUGCUUUCUGUUUCACAUGAGAAUUGAUAUGAAAGGAAGAAUUUGAUCCUAGUUUGGGUGUACACUCUGAAAUCUUUCUUCUUAUGACAUUUUUCGUAGAGAGUUUUGUUUGCAAGUAAAGGAAUAUUGAAACCUUGAUGUUAGGAGUGUGUUUUCUAUUGUUAUUUAAAUCUGAUGAAAUUUGCAGGCCCUGAAACUACAUCUUGGAUGUAUUUCNAUUAACAGAUGAAAUCCCAAAGAAAGCAAACAAGUAUGUAAAUUGAUNAAGUGUCGUCAUUCAUAUGUUCACAACAUCAUUCAUUCAUACCCAACAUCAUUCAUAUCUGUACAUAUAACAGAGGAGCAUGCAUUCGUAACAAGACCAAGAGCUCAGACGAGGAAACUUACCUUUGCAGCUUUAAAAGAACUCUUCCUUUUGGUUCUAGUUCCCUAUGNUUUCCUCGAUUGAUCUUUGAAUGGCUGAAAAUGUUCUUGCAGUUGGAAGGCUAAUUUGAAGGCAAAUGAUUCACCCUUUCUCUUGAGGUCGUGAGGUGCUNGAGGAGGAUCAUCCUUCCGAGUGUUCUCUUCCUCUCAUGAUAUUAGCCCCUGUUGUCUCCUUGUGUUUUCUGUUUAGUGAAAUGGAGUUGAGAGUUCUCCUUGUGAAGUCGAUAAUGGAGUCUGGAUAAGAAUCCUCGGUACCUAGUAUCUAUUCCGCUAGUUAAGGUCUCUUUUUCAUUUACUGUGAUGAAGCCUCAUUAAAAAACCAAACCCCACAUAUCUUCUACCGCCGGAUUUUUCUCUUGUUUUUUUUUUUUCUUUAUUCAUGUUCAUUGUAUUAGAUAUCAGACUGCGGAAGCUCACUUCCAAAAANAAACAUUCCCCUUUGAUGUAUACUGUAAUCCUGCGAAGGGAAAUUAUAGGAGGAGGAGCCAAAGCCUUUCUGCCACUGUCAUUGUAAAUACAUUUUGAGCAUUGUUUUUUUUGUCAAUUACUGCUGCUGCCAUUUGUCUUAUCUGAGCAUUGUCAUUGUCGUCUACUGUUUUAUGCUACAAGAGUGACCAUGGUUUAUUUUUGUUUUGUUUUUUUCUCUUCUUAUUCUUUUUUUUUCGUUUUUUUUUUGUUUUUCUUUUUUUAAUUAAUUUUUUUUUGUUUUGUUAACAUAAAAAUUAAAGUAAAAGAAACUAAAAAAAAGAAACUAAUGUAAAAGAAAAUAAUAGAAAGUAAAAUAAAAACUAAAAAAAACUAACAUAAAAAUAAAAUAGUGAAAACAAGAUUACAAUGCAAAUAAGAUAAAAUCAAAUCAAAUACCAAAAACAAAACAUAUAUUAUUUAAUUAUCCGGACGAAAUUUGGUGUUGACAUCUUUUUCUUUAUUCUUAUUUACAAUACAAUAAAAAAUGAUUAAAUAAUAUAAAUUUUAAAUAAAACACUACAUAAUUAAUAAUUUAAAGACAUAUAAUUCAAAAAUUAAAAUGUAUUAUUUCUUUACUACAGAAAAACAUGUUUUAUCGACGGAUAUUUAUGGACGACGAUAGAUUUGUAGGUAAAUGUUAAUUAUCAACGGACAUAUUUAUUAGUGAAUGUAUUUUUUAUUUACCAAAAGAUGUGUCCAUUAGUAAGGUAUUGUUGACUUGCUUUAUUGACUUCCUCCAUCAGUAUGUUCUUCGAUGAAAUUAGGUAAAAUUUAGGAUUUCUCUUCCCCAAAUUAUCUCGUUGAAUGCAAUAUGCACUAUCCUCUUUCAAUCCAGCCAAUGUCCAUUGCUCUUUUUCUUAUCUUUUAUAGCAUAGACGGAGAAAUGUUGUUCCCUUUAGAUAACGAAAUAUGCGUUUAACAGCACUGAGAUAAGUUUCUUUGGGACUUUACUGAAAUCUUGCACAAAGACAGACAUUAAACAUAAUGUUAGGUCUAGACGCGCAGAGAUACAAAAGUGAACCUAUCAUUUGAUGAUAAAGAGUAUUUUCCACUUUUGUUGAGCUUUCAUCUAGUCCUAGGCUAGUUGUUUGAUGCAUUAGAGUCUUAAUCUCCUUGGCAUCAUCCAUUUUGAACUUUUUGAGUAGCUCCUUAAUAUAUUUGGUUUGGUGUAUGUAGAUCGCGUCGUCUUCUUGCUUGAUUUCUAAUCCUAGAAAGAAUUUUAGCUCGCCCAUCAUACUAUUCUCGAAUUCUUCUUGCAUCAUGAUCAAGAAGUAUGGUCCCCACUAAUGUACCAUAGGGAUGACCAUAAUAUCAAUCCUAGGACCUGGUACAAUCUAGUUUUAAAAUGUAGAGUUAGAUUUUGUGUUAUUUAUCAAUUAUCUAAACUAGUUGGGGACACUAAAUGAAAGCAAUGAAACUCUUAGUAAAGAAUUAAAGAAAAUAAAACUCUAAUAUGAAACUUAAACUAGAUUAAGGAACUAAUGUAAAAGAAAGAACCUAAACUACUGAACUUUGUUAUUGUCAGAACCUAAAAACUAUAAAUACAAAAUCUAAAUUAUGCAACUAAACCUACAAAUGAACAAUUGGAAUAUACACAUAGAAAUUAGGAUUAAAAAUUGGAAUCUAACCCUAACACAUAAUAAUAGCAAACUAGAAAUUGAAAAAUGCAUCAAACCAAAGGUAAAAUAGCAAAAUGAUAACAUCAGAAUUCAAAGCACAAUUGUAAUCAAAAUUUAAACUCCUUAACUUGCUGAGAAAGUAAAUCAAUACUAAAAAUCAACUCUACUCUAAUCUAUAUAUCACCAAAAAGCAAUUAAAAGCAAAAUUUAGAAUUGAAACAAAACAAAAUCAGUACCUAAAUUCAAGGAAGCAUAGAACAAAACUUAAAUAUGCGAAUGAUUGAGGAUAAAGUUUCCAUUAUACUCAAAAAGACAUUCUGACUAAAGUAAGUCGGGUCUUAUAAUUCAUAUUUCAGAACUUACAAUGGUAAUUUCCUCUCUUCUCAAUCAAUGCAAAUCUAAAUAUGAUAUACAGUUUCAAAAGAAAACAAUUGAAACAUAAUCUAUAAGACUCUUUAUGUAUUGGAUUCAUCUUUGACUCGAGAAGACAUCUCGAGAAUGAAUGUUCGCUGUGGAGUCAUUUGAUUCCCAAAGGAAUUAUAGAAAUGCAGAGUUCUAGAGUUCAAUUUAUUUUCAAAGCAAAACAAUUCCAAAAAUCAAAAACACAGAAAAAUAUCUACGCAAACAAGAAUAGAAAAAGAAACACGAAAUUGAAAUUUAUUAACAUGAACAAGAAAUUUACAUACUACCAAACUCACCAAACCACUCGCGACUGUCACUCCCGCGAGCUUCAAGGUGAAAUCCAGUAACCAAGAACCCUACUUCUACGAAAGCACAAAAAUCCUUGAGCAUUGGAAGCUUCUGGUUAAGUCGCGCUCUCUUCAAUCUCCCUUAGAAACCCUAGCUGUUGGGUUGCCUUUCUUCUACCUAAUGUUUAACGAAAGCAAAGACCCCUAAGGCAACAACAUCAGACUCUCCAAAACGACACCAUUGCACUAAUGACCAACGUAUGGAAGCAGCCUAAUCCCUUUCUGAUCCAAAUAGUCCACUAGCCUAAUGUAUCACUGCAUUCCAAUGACCACUUCAGCGUCAGAUCAGUGUCAGCUCCAAACGUGGCAGCAGCGACUCAAUGCAUUGUGUCUAGACCAAACCAGCAUCGUAGCAGGCCAAACAACCCAACACUUUUCAUUUAAGAGGAUUUCACCCUACACCUCCAAGUGCUUCAUUCUGCACCUCCAAAUUUCUAAAAAUAGCUAAAUUACCCCUAAUUAAGAAGGUUGUAAUAUUUUUUAGAAAAAGUAAAAAUAGUCAAAGAUGUCAGUGCACAGAUAUUAUUACGCUUAUAUUUGUUUAUUUGUCUCUCACAUUUGAAAAUACUCUCUGAAUCUCAUUCCUAAGUUGGUGUCUCCAUUCUUCCUCUCCAUUUGAAUUAAUUUUAUUUAUUUUGAAUGAAAUAAUUUUAACUAUUUUAAUUUCUCUGUUUUAAUAAUUUUAAUUUUUUUUAAUCAUUUUAAAUUUUCUGUUAUAAUUAUUUUAAAUAUUCUGUUAUUAUAAUUUAAAAUUUUAUGUUUUAAUUUUUUUGAAUAUUCUGUUAUUAUAAUUUUAAAUUUUUUGUUUUAAGUUUUUUAAAUGUUCUCUUAUAAUUAUUUAAAAAAUUUAGUUUUAAUUUUUUAAUUUAUACUUAUUUCAUUUUUAUUUUAAUAAAUUGUUAUAUUUGAAUUAAUUAUUUAUUUAUAUGAAGAUUUGAAUUAAUUUUACUUUUUGAAUUCACUUUAGUUUGUAUAUAUUUAAUAAGUAUUUUUAAUUUCUUUAAUUUUAUAGAAUGUAUAGUUGGUUAUUUGUAAUAAUAUAUUAAGGAAUUAGUUAAAUUGAUUAAAUUUAUUUGGUUUUAAUUAUUUUUUUAAUUUGUUUUAAAAAAAUUAUAGUUAUAAGAUUUUUCGUUACUUUUUGUUUUCUGAAAUAUUAGAUUUUUACUAUUAGUUAAUAUAUAUAUAUAUAUAUAUAUAUAUAUAUAUAUAUAUAUAUUAUCGGAUUAUCAUAGGUUACGUUUAUUUUUUUAAUCAAAAUCAGUUUUAUUAAUUUUAAUAAAUUUAUAGAAAUUAAUUUAUAUUAAUUAAAAAUUAUAUAAUUACAUUAUAUAGUUAUACAAAAUCAUACUUAAUUUUAAAAAUAAUUUUAAAUCAAUAAAAUAAUUGAAUAAGUAAUAUAAUGAAAUUUUAUAUUACAUUAAACUGUAAUCGAAAAUGGUACAAAUCGGAUAUCCAAAUCCGACUUUUAUUUUACAUUCGGAUUUGCAUAUCCGAUAAACUUGUCUUAAUGUUGAAAACUAUUUUUAAUAAUUUUAAUAAAUUAAUAUAAAUUACAUUAUAUUAAUUAAAAAUUAUAUAAUUACAAUAUAUAUUUAUACAAAACCAUAUAUAAUUUUAAAAAUAAUUUUAAACUAAUAAAAUAGAUAAAUAAGUAAUAUAAUGAAAAUUUUAUAUAACUUAUUCAACUUAAUAUAAUAAAAUUUUAUAUAACAUAUCCUCAUCCGAUUUUGAUAAAUUCGGAUUUUCAUUUUCGAUCUGCUCAUCUGAAGUUUAUUUUAAUUUAAAAGUAAUUUUAUUAAUUUUAAUAAAUUUAUAAAAAUAUAAAAUUAUAUAAUACAUUAUAAAGUCAUACAUAAAAUUAAAAAAAUUACAAUCUAAUAUAAACAAGUAAUUCGUAAAUAAUAUAAUUUAAAUAUAUGAAGAAGUAAACGUUAAUCGGAUAUGAAAAUCCGAAGCACCUCACAUCGGAUGUCUAUAUUCGACUGCGUUGCAUCGGUUCUUGACAGUUGUCUUUUGUGAUCAUGCAUAUGAACUAAAAAUUAAAUACUAACAUGCAACAAUGCAACUGAUUAACCAAAAAUAAAAUACUAACAUGCAAUAGAUUAACCAAAAAUUAAAUAUUCUCUCUCGAGCAAUUUCAAUGCAACUACGAAUAACACCGAAAAGAGCACUCCAAGAGCAUCACCGUAAAGCACCCCAAGUACAUUACCACAAAAGCAAGUCAAGCUUCCUGGAUGCACCAUUUCAAACUGCACUCAAAAACUACUAAGCCCUCUCAAAUAUCUUUAGUUCUCAAUAUUACACUCACUCACAAAUACUCAAGAGAAAAAUAAUUAUCACAUAGCUCCAAUUCAAAUGGGAUGUUGCGUCGUCUCUUAAUAAAAAUGAAAUGGGGUAUACAGGUGUGGGAUGUAAGGAUGUAGUCAAUUGUUUAGAAGUGUAGUCAAUAUAGGGAUGCAGGAAUGCAUGUUUGGUAAUAGGAGGAAAACGAAAAUGAUAUAUUAACAUCGUUUCUUUGACACAGUUUUGACAACGCCACAUGACGUCUGUGCAUUGGCCGGUUUUUUAAUGAAAUGAAAUUGGCUUUCUAAGGUAAGUAAGGGGCAUAAUGGGAAAGGCAAGAGAAUGAAUUUUCGAUUUGGCGCCCUGUUUUCUCAUUUCCUUUUCACAGUUUCAGAUUUUCUUCACGGUUUCUCACUUUUUCUCCCUCGUUGCACUGGUUCUCUGUUCAUCACUCUUGUGCUUUUGUUCUCUCAUCAUCUCGUUCUCAGUUCUUAGGCGUUCUCGGCUGCUUGGGUAUUGUUUGUGUGUUGGGCAUCCUUCGUGUGUACUGUUGAAGCCCGCCCUCUACCAUUUCUGUUUUUGUCGUUGUUGGUGUGUUCUUAUAUUUGGGGUAAGUGCAACUCGAAACUUACUCUAACCUCAUAUCCAAUAGAGUGGUUUAUUUCUUUAGCGAAACCUAACUAUUUUUGUGGACAUUGUUAUCACUGCAGGUCCAAUGGCAUCAAGAAAACCAUGUGUAAGAUGAAAUUUUUAAUGUUUUAUUGUUAUGGAUGAUGUAUAAGUUGUUAUGUUAUUGUUUUGUAGUGGCAACUUCGUAUAUCCAUGGAUUCGGCCAACGAGAACAUUGCAAGAAUGAAAGCACUACAUGAAUAUGGGUUUUUGCAGAAUUGUUAAGAUUUGUUAGAUGUUAAUAUGUAUUUCAAAUUACAUUGUACCCUAUACAGAUGAUAUGUAUAUAAGAUGACAUUGUUGAUGAUUUGUUGAUCUCCAUUGAUAUAUAUAUAUAUAUAUAUAAGAGUACAUUGUUGAUGAUAAGGUGAUUUGCAAUGUCUUUGUAUUUACGUUAUGUAUGUAUUAAUGGGAAACGAAAGCGCGAUAUGAAUAAUUCCUUUAAAUAAAAGCAAAGUAAUGUUUUGAAAGUUGUUGGAUGAUGUCCACAAAGUUGUGCAGCAGAAAACACAGUGGUAAUCGUUUACCAGAGUUUGGUAAACGACUACGCGACUCAAAUCCAGGAUUUGGACACAAACCUCAACAGUAGGAGCCUCAGUUUUAUACACAGAGAACCAUGGUCUAUCCUUAUAAUGUUUCUGCUACAUAACUUCUUCUAGAACAUGAAUUUGGGGCUUGCACUCAACAUAAAACCUUCCUUGCAUACCAAAACAUGUACAACUACACUUAGAACACCUAAAACCCACUAAAUGACACCAAAACAGAUCCACCUCUGCUCUAAAUUCAGGAAUUAAUGCCAUGGUCCGCUGUGAACAAAAUAAAGGCUUUCUAUGUUGAAAUUUGUGUCCAAAUCACUAAACAAGCUCGCGUAAUCGUUUACCAAUCUGUGGUAAACGAUUGCCACAACUUUUUCUGCAUAACUUCUUCCUGGACAUGAUUUGGGGGCUUGCACUCAACGUCAAACCUUCCUUGCGUACCAAAACAUGUACAACUACACUUAAAACACCUCAAUACCACUAAAUGACACCAAAACAGAUCCACCUCUGGUUUAAAUUCAGGAAUUAAUACCAUGGUCCGCAGUGAACAAAUUAAGGGCUCCUUAUGUUGAACUUUGUGUCCAAAUCACUAAACUAGCUUGCGUAAUUGUUUACCAGUCUGUGCUAAACGAUUACCACAACUUUUUCUGCAUAACUUCUUCCUGGACAUGAUUUGGGGGCUUGCAUUCAACAUCAUACCUUCCUUGCCUACCCAAACAUGAAAAACUACACUUAGAACACCUCCAAAGCACUAAAUGACUCCAAAACAGAUCCACUUCUGGUCUAAAUUUAGGAAUUAAUACCAUGGUCCGUUGUGAACAAAAUAAGGGCUCCCUAUGUUGAACUUUGUGUCCAAAUCACUAAAUCAGCUCGUGUAAUCGUUUACCAGUCUGUGGUAAACGAUUACCACAACUUUUUUCUGCAUAACUUCUUCCUGGACAUGAUUUGGGGACUUGCACUCAACAUCAUAACUUCCUUGCCUACCCAAACAUGAACAACCACACUUAGAACACCUCCAAAACACUAAAUGACACCAAAACAACUCCACCUCUGGUCUAAAUUCAGGAAUUAAUACCAUGGUCUGUUGUGAACAAAAUAAGGGCUCCCUAUGUUGAACUUUGUGUCCAAAUCACUAAACCAGCUCGCGUAAUCGUUUAGUAGUCUGUGGUAAACGAUUACCACAGCGUUUUCUCCAUAACUUCUUCCUGGACAUGAUUUAGGGGCUUGCACUCAACAUCAUACCUUCCUUGGCUACCCAAACAUGAACAACCACACUUAGCACACCUCCAAAGCACUAAAUGACACCAAAACAACUCCAACUUUGGUCUAAAUUCAGGAAUUAAUUCCAUGGUCCGUUGUAAACAAAAUAAGGGCUCCCUGUGUUGAACUUUGUGUCCAAAUCACUAAACCAGCUCGCGUAAUCGUUUACAAGUCUGUGGUAAACGAUUAAAACACCUUUUUUCUGCAUAACUUCUUCCUGGACAUGAUUUGGGGGCUUGCACUCAACAUCAUACCUUCCUUGCCUACCUAAACAUGAACAACCACACUUAGAACACCUCCAAAGCACUAAAUGACACCAAAACUGUUGGUACCAGCGGGGUAUGGUUUGAAGAAUAUAACGCAGAGGAAUUAAACUUAGAGUAAGCGGAAAGCGUGUUUGGUCACCCUUUUAAAACAAGUUGGUCCUUUUUCGAAAAUCAAUUUUCUUUUAGAAAAUUUAUCAAACAGUUGAUAUGCUUAAACAAUAAAAAGUGUAGGGAAACAGAAUCUACGUUCAGUCGUUAAUCACUUCAAAGAGUGAUUAGCAGUUCCACUAAAAAAAUAUUUCACAGUUUACAAUAGAAAGUGAAUAAGAACUGAUAAACCUUCCUUCGUCGAACGAACCGGAAGAAUGACACUCAACCAACUCGAUGAGAACCGCUCCGGCAAUCGACCAACGAUUCGCGAGCUUCUCCUAUUCACGAGACCAGGCAGAGCACCUUGCUAACUCCAAGAGAGCCUGCUCCGACUAUCGACACACGAUACACAAGCCUCUCCUAUUCACGAGACCAAGCAAGGGAACUUUGAACAAGCUACUGAGAACUUCCUCUGACAAACAGUAUUCUUCUAAGCUUUCAGUUCAAGAACGUUGCAUUUGAAUUUCUCAGAAACCAUAUAUAUAACCAUCUGCUCUGAAUAUCAAAGGUCAAGUCCCAACUGCCACGAAUAAUCGAUUAUUGUAAGUGAUAAUCGACUAUUUAAGUCCAUUACAGGUUUUUCAAAAAUGUGAUAAUCAAUUAUAACAAAUGAUAAUUGAUUAUCACGAUUAUUCCUUAAGGGCUUAUGAUAAUCGAUUAUUGCUUGUCCAUAAUCGAUUAUUCUAGUACAAAAUACAAGUGAUAAUCGAUUUUUAAUUGUUCGUAAACGAUUAUUCUAGUAGAAAAUGCAAGGUUUACAAUUUAUUUAAGACUUUCCUACUAUAUUCAAUUUUUACAAGUUGCUUUUUAAAUAAUUCUAAUGUCCUCUUCAAAUAACACUUCUUGCAGCAUCAUCAAAACAAUUCUUCAAGAUUUACCAAUACUCCUUAUUGGUAACAAUCUCCCCCUUUUUUAUGAUGAUCAAAAAUUCAAUUUUAAAAGCAACUCUGGCUUUCCUGCAACACAUACAAGCUAACAGAAAACAAAGUUUGCAGUACCUGUAUCAUUUAUUAAUUUGUAUUAUACUUUUCCCCAUAUAGCUUUCUUCUUCCCCUUUUUUAUCAUAAGCAAAAAGAUUAAUGUAAAAAUCUCCCCCUUAAUAUGAGAUCCCCCUCAAUUAUAUAAUAUAUGCAUAAAAUUGACAUAAAAUCUCAUUUUAUUUAAAAGAGAAGGAUGACAUAAAGUUCAUAAAGAUUAUUACUAAAGAGAUAAAUAAACACAAAGGAAGUACAACAAACAAUCAACUUAGCAGCCUAUUUCUAGAAUUCAGGACUGGGAGAUCUAUCAGGAGGUUGGAUAUUUAGAUGAUCCUCGAUGUUAGAUAGGCGAACAUCAAGAUCAAGAAAUUGAUCAACCAUGUACUCAUUAAUAGAUUGUUGUCACUCAUAAAUCUCCUCAAGGUGUGUCUUUUGUGCUAGACUCAUAUCCUCCAAUUGUUUAGAUAACCUUGCGAAGUGUUCUUCCAUAGAAGUUGAGGAAGAGGAGGGUAUGUUGGAUUAUCCAGCAUCAGAAGGAGCAGCAGCACUCACUGGGUCAGCCAUAUUCAAUGUCAUCAUUUUCAUCUUCAUCAAGAUGAUCAUCAUCUUUGUGGAUAAGAACUCUUCCUCUAGUAAUGAAUCCCAUCUGACGAAAGGUAGUAUCUCCAAUUUCCGAACCCACAGCUUGAAUGGCUUGGACAAGUUCUCCUUGAACAUUUACACCUUUGUACUCCAAAAUC